rfam:Clostridium beijerinckii NCIMB 8052, complete genome.
AAUAUCAAUAGGCACACUUAUUGAAAAAUAGGGUCGCAAAGCUAUGAGUCUAAGGAAAAAUUUAAUUUUCUAUGAUUGUCAGGUUGCCAAA